rnacentral:rRNA from 1 species
AUGUGGCCUAUUCCCAAUGGCGUUAACUUCACUUCUGCUAGAUACGAGCACAAUUCACGCUGUGAGCAUAAGUGUUGGCUUGCUGUACUGCGACAUCAGUUGCAUGUUUUGCUCUUUCUGUAUUGUCCGUUGGAUUUCAGUUGGCCAAACUUUGCGCUGAUAGCUUCUGUAUGCUCGGAUCAGAAUGGCCACUCAAAGUGUUGCCGCUAUAUCAAUGCCGUCCUCGCGGUCUCAUCUGCAAUGUAUGCGAACACAACAGGCACUCUUGGGGUUCCAUCUGAACUUGCCGAUGCCUGUAUUCGCAAUAUCUCAGACACCUUCGUGUCCAAUGGGAUACUUCCUACUGCAGCUUCGUUUUGUGGCCUCGGGAUCAAGAUUCAGGCGUCCUAUCAGUGCGUUGGGAUGACUACUAUCCUCCAAAUGUUAGUCUCCGAAUUUCAGUGA